rnacentral:rRNA from 1 species
GACGAACGCUGGCGGCGUGCUUAACACAUGCAAGUCGAACGGAAAGGCCUCUUUCGGGGGGUACUCGAGUGGCGAACGGGUGAGUAACACGUGAGUAACCUGCCCUUGACUUUGGGAUAACUUCAGGAAACUGGGGCUAAUACCGGAUAGGAGCUCCUUCUGCAUGGUGGGGGUUGGAAAGUUUCGGCGGUUGGGGAUGGACUCGCGGCUUAUCAGCUUGUUGGUGGGGUAGUGGCUUACCAAGGCUUUGACGGGUAGCCGGCCUGAGAGGGUGACCGGCCACAUUGGGACUGAGAUACGGCCCAGACUCCUACGGGAGGCAGCAGUGGGGAAUAUUGCACAAUGGGUGGAAGCCUGAUGCAGCAACGCCGUGUGCGGGAUGACGGCCUUCGGGUUGUAAACCGCUUUCGCCCAUGACGAAGCUUUGUGUGACGGUAGUGGGUAAAGAAGCACCGGCUAACUACGUG